rnacentral:misc_RNA from 1 species
GAUGAAGAACGCAGCGAAAUGCGAUAAGUAAUGUGAAUUGCAGAAUUCAGUGAAUCAUCGAAUCUUUGAACGCACAUUGCGCCCCCUGGUAUUCCGGGGGGCAUGCCUGUCCGAGCGUCAUUACAACCCUCAAGCUCAGCUUGGUGUUGGGCCCCGCCGCCCCGGCGGGCCCUAAAGUCAGUGGCGGUGCCGUCCGGCUCCGAGCGUAGUAAUUCUUCUCGCUCUGGAGGUCCGGUCGUGUGCUCGCCAGCAACCCCCAAUUUUUUUCAGGUUGACCUCGGAUCAGGUAGGGAUACCCGCUGAACUUAAGAAUAUCAAUAAGCGGAGGA